rnacentral:rRNA from 1 species
UCGAGCGAACAGAUGAGGAGCUUGCUCCUCUGACGUUAGCGGCGGACGGGUGAGUAACACGUGGAUAACCUACCUAUAAGACUGGGAUAACUACGGGAAACCGGAGCUAAUACCGGAUAAUAUAUUGAACCGCAUGGUUCAAUAGUGAAAGACGGUUUUGCUGUCACUUAUAGAUGGAUCCGCGCCGCAUUAGCUAGUUGGUAAGGUAACGGCUUACCAAGGCAACGAUGCGUAGCCGACCUGAGAGGGUGAUCGGCCACACUGGAACUGAGACACGGUCCAGACUCCUACGGGAGGCAGCAGUAGGGAAUCUUCCGCAAUGGGCGAAAGCCUGACGGAGCAACGCCGCGUGAGUGAUGAAGGUCUUCGGAUCGUAAAACUCUGUUAUUAGGGAAGAACAAAUGUGUAAGUAACUAUGCACGUCUUGACGGCACCUAAUCAGAAAGUCACGGCUAACUACGUGCCAGCAGCCGCGGUAAUACGUAGGUGGCAAGCGUUAUCCGGAAUUAUUGGGCGUAAAGCGCGCGUAGGCGGUUUUUUAAGUCUGAUGUGAAAGCCCACGGCUCAACCGUGGAGGGUCAUUGGAAACUGGAAAACUUGAGUGCAGAAGAGGAAAGUGGAAUUCCAUGUGUAGCGGUGAAAUGCGCAGAGAUAUGGAGGAACACCAGUGGCGAAGGCGACUUUCUGGUCUGUA